UAAUGGGCAGUGUCAGAGCCAUAUAAAUAAGUUAUACUAACUCCCCCUCCCCCAAACAUCCCCCACUCCUCAGCAUAUGUUCUCUUUAAACUACCCAGUCUGUGACCUCUGCAAGGAAGCCUAAGGAGUAAGGCCUGUGGGAGCACCACACUCCUCUCUUGUUCCCUAUCCAGUGUUUGAGCUACCUGAUCCCCGGCCUACUAUCAGCACCCCAACCUCUCUUGGAAAUUUCUUUACAGAGAAGCCUGGGACCAACUUAGAAAAAAACCUAACAAUAAAAAUCGCACUGGACUAGAAGAGGGGUUGUUGACUCUGGUGUCCUGGAGGAUGGUCUACCAGCCUAAGAAGAAUGCAACACUACUGACUAGAUGGUAAUGAAAAAAGAACAUACCCAUUCCGGUGCUGUGUAAGAACAGGGAUUAAAAUCGGGACCUUGCGCUUUCCAGGCAGGUGCUAGAACCACUGAGCUAAAUCCCCAGCCCCUUCACCAUGCCUUUCUGCUAUGAUGUUCCUGCCUUGGAGCCAGAUGACCAGGGAGUAAACCCCUGAAAUCGUGAGGUAUCGGAGAUUGAACUCGGGUCCUUGUGCUUGCGCAGCAGGCAGCGAAACCACUGAGCUAAAUCCCCGGCCCUAUAAGCUUAUAUUGAACUUGGUGUUUUUACCACUGGAGAACUUUGGGCAUCUUACAAAAUGGUGAAAUCUCAGACCUGCACCAUGAACAGCACCAAGAAAAUCAAUAAAAAAUACUACUCUGGAAUUUAACUGAAUGAAGAUUCAUGGAGAGAAUGAAUCCUGAUUGAACUGCAGAAAAAAAAAUUAAGACAGGAGAACCUGCUCUACCAAACUCACAGGACUGCUAUUAAAGGGAUCAAACUCAGGUCCUUGCGCUUGCAGGGCUGGCAGCGGAACCACUGGGCUAAAUCCCCGGCCCUAGCCUGUCUUUUAAUCUUUAGACAUUUAAAAUUAUUUUAUGUAACUAUCAAUUUAAAUAAUGCAAAAUAAAAGUUCAAGCUGAAAUUAUUUGGAUAAUUCUAAGGAAAAGAGCUGUCUGUAAUAUUUAAUUUGCAAAAUUUUUUCAAUUUGUUCUAGAUAACUGAAUUCAUUCUAUCAUUUCAUUUAUACAAUCCAAGAGUUAGGGGAUAUGGUAGAGCAUGAUGUCUAAUUUUAUAUUUUUAUAUUUCCAUGCUAUACUUUCAUUUCUAUUCACUCCUAUUGAAUGAAAACCAUGAAGUGCUAUUUAUACUUACAUGUAUACUUAGGAGACAUACAUAAGACUUUUACCAAACAUAUAGGAGAAAAUAUUAUUUUGGACAUUAGUACCUUAUUGAUAUGACAUUUAUCCUUUGGAUUGAAAGAAACAAUUAUGGAGACUAGAGCUUAUUUGUUUACAUUAUAUUAAAAUAAUUAUAUUGUUGCUGAGGAUUUAGCUCAGUGGUGCCACUGCCUGCCUAGCAAGCACAAGGUUCCAAGUUUGAUCCCCAGUACCAAAAAAAAAAAAAAUAAUAAUAAUUAUAUUGUUGAGGCUGUCUCUUGAUAUCUGUGCACAUAUAUUAUUUGAGGUGCAUGCAAACAACUAUUAAGUGAUGUGUAUCACCUGUUUAAUUUUAUUUCCUCUAUCCAGAAUGGGAACAUAAUAAAAUCAAUAAGCCAAAAACUUUGUAUUCAUAUAUUAUUGACAUGUGAACCUUUGAUCAAAGCAUCUAAAAACAAAGGAGCAAUUACCAAGUUUGUUUUUCUAAAGGACAUUUGUUAUUGUUUACAAAUUCAUAAUCACCCACUGAGGGGAUGGUGUGAAUCAGGGAGAUCACAAUUGCCUGAGUAUAUUCCAAUUAAUUAUCAUGAUCCCAAACUACUCUGAAAGGGCUAUUCAGAUAGUCCAUUCCUAGUUUCUCAUUUCAACAGAAAUUAGCAAUAGUAACAAUAGUGGCUUUGUUUGAUUAAAAAAAAAUCAGAGCCAUUAAUUUAUUUUACAUAUGAUGCUGAAUUUCUUAAAUGCUUCUAAUUUUAACUUAAAGUUUGAGUUUUAUUUUAGUAAGUUAUUACAUAGCUUUACUUGUUUGAAAUCUCCUUUAAAAACUGAAAAAUAUUUCAAACACAUAGAACAUUUUAAGAACAUUUUAUAAAAAUCACAUCCCUGUCCAUUUAUUUAACUUUAAUAUACAGAUAUGUCUGUUUCAUACCUUUAAGCAAAUAGUUGAUGACUUCUGUGUAUACCUUGGCUUUUUUUUGUUAUUGUUGUUUUUCCUUGCUCAUUCGAUCUAGUCAUUAUCCAAGAUUUAGCUAGAUAUGACUGCUACUGUAUUCAUAAAACAAUAAACAGUUUUCAUCUUUCUAAUUGGAUGUUAAGGGAAAUGUGCUCUAUAUACUAUUUUGCAACCUAUUUUCAUCACUGGUUUUAAAAUGCAUCCAUUUCGUUCUUUCAUUUAUAACAUCUGUGCAAUAUUUCACUUUAUUAAUAAACCAGUUAUUUUCUGCUGAUAAAUAUUUCAGUUGUUUUCAAUUGUUAUUAAAAACAUUGCAAUAAAAAUUAUGUAUGUGCUUCUUUAUACACAUUUGCAUGCAGAGAUAAAGUUGGUAGGUUGAAGAGUAUAUUCAUAUUCAGAUUUACUUGAUAUUGGAAAAUUAUUCUCCAAAGCAAUUCUACCAAUCUAUGUUCCUACUUGUCAUGUAUAAGAAUUUACAUUGUGCCGUAAUGUUGCAAAUCCUUAUCCUAUUGAGACAUAAAAUUUUCCAAUCAGAUGAGCAUGAAAUGAAACUAAAUUUUGGGUCUAAUUUAAUUUCCCCAAUUAUAAGUGAGAAUAAGAAACUUUAGCCCAUUAAAGUUUCCCUUCUCAUACAUUGCCUAUUAAAAUCCUUUGCCCACCUCUUCUAUGGGAGUGGUUUUUAAAGAUUGAUUUGCAGAAGUCCUUUAUGUUUUAUACACUACUCCAUCCCUUCAUCUCUUCAUCCCUUCCAUCCUUGUUCCAGCCUGGGCUCCAGCUUACAAUCCUCUCGCCUCUGCUUCCCAGAGUGCUGAAUUACAGAUUUGUACCACAUCGGGCUCCUUUAUCAGUUCUUUAAGAAUCAUUUCCUCAGUCUGUGACCUGUGUUUUCACUUUGUAUGAUGUUCUUUUAGUUUCAGCAUAGUGAAUUUAUCAGCUUUUUUCUUUAAGGAUUUUUUUUUUGUAGCCUUAAAAAAUCUUGAAUAUAGACAUUUCCCCCUAUUUUUAUUUCUAAAAGUAUUUUUUCAAAAAUAUUUUAUUUCUUUAAAUUUUGCUUUUUAUGUCUUCAGAAUCAGUAUCAAAUCUUAUCAUUUUCUUUCUUUCUGUUUUUGUUUUUUUUGGUACCAGGGAUCAAACUCAGGACCUUGCGCUUGGCAAGGCAGGUGUGGUGCUACUGAGCUAAAUCCCUGGCCCAAAUUUUAUCAUUUUCUAUCAGUAAUUGUCUCAAGAUCAUUUAUCAAAGAAUCCAUAUAUUCCACAGUUUGCAAUGAGUGCCACUUUUUUCACAUGUCAAGUUUCCAUAACAGGCAAAGUCUGUUUCUGGACUCUUGUUCUAUUUGUUCCUCUGUCUUUUGUUAUAUUAAUACUAUAGCUUAGUAACAAUGUAACAUUGUGGUGGGUUACAAAAUGUAUGGCCAAAAUUUCUCCCCAUUUUAGUAUGCACACCCCUUUGCAUGCAUGUUUUGUUGUUGCUUUUUCAUCUGUUGAAUUUAUGGAGUGGCCUUGUUCAGUUCCUUUGACCAACAGAAUGUGGGUGAAAGACUUCAGGAAGUUUCUAAAGCAAGGCUGUAAAGGCUUUGUCUUCUUGAAAUGCUGCACAGAGACCACAACAUAAGCUCGUGUAGUCUACUAAAGCAUAUGAGGCCAUGUGGAGAAAGACCAAGGUUCCUUAGUACCAAUUUCCAGAUAUGUGAGUGAUCCCUGCAUAACCUUCCAGUCUAGCUGACCUAGUUGAAUGCAGACGAGGAUUGAGUAUCAGGCUAAAAUUCAGAAUUGUUUUUUGAAACUGCCUUAAAGUUUUAAAAUUGAUUUUGGAAAGUUACAUUUUUAAAGCAGACAUAUCUUAUAUAUGAACAUUAUUAACCUUUUCACUAUUCAGUACUUUCAUGAAAUUUUCCAUUUUUCUCAAAUUCUCUGGGUAGUCAUGAUUUAGGUCUAUAUUUUUAAGUAGCACAUAACUGGAUUUAUUUUCCCCAAGGUGAUAUUUUAAUUGGUUAAUAUUUUUGCUUUAGAAGACUUUGUGUUUUGUAUUAAAUCUUAAGUUACUUAGAACAUAUUACCUAUGUGAAAAAUCAUUCUCUGCUAAUCUUACAACUAUAAAGAUAGGUGAGGACUUUUAGAAUCUCUUAUCUUGGUGUGAUAUAUUUUUAAGCUCAGA